UGUUGGGUCUCGGUCCUCGGGUCCAGGGAGAAUGGCUAGGUUGGUCAAGUUACAGAAUGAGAUUGAAAGAAUUAAAGAAAAAUAUUUCACCAGAAACAGAUUCGCGGAGGAGAAUAGACAGAGAGAGAACGAAGCAGCCAUCAAAAUCCAGAGUUGGUUUAGGGGAUGGCAAGUGCGAGCGUAUCUCAGUCACCUACAUUGGAAGGCCACCAUUAUUCAGAAGAUAUGGCGAGGCUUCAGAGCCAGGGCACGUUUCAGACAAACGGUGAAGGCCGUAUAUUUUAUCAUGAAGAUGAAUUUCUACCACAAGAUGUCCGUCAGGAUACAGCGGAGAUGGAGAGGCUACUAUGUGAGGAAAUACGUCCAUAAUUACUACGCCCGUAGAAGAUACAUGGAGGGACUCAUCCGCAAAAAUGAGGAGAUCAGGAGAGAUCUGGUGGACUUUUCUGAGUUCCAGAGGAGGGAGAGAGAACAAAUAGCUAUGGAUAGAGAGGAGCAGAAGAAGACUGUCCAGGCCCAGAGGAUGCACUUUCUACUCAGCACAAAACAGUGCCCUGGAGUAUUCAAUUCUCCAUUUAAACCAGAGCCAGAUGAGAUGGAGCUUAGACUCAGAAGGACCAAGCCCCAGCCGCCUACAGCCUCUCCCAGGGAAAGAGACUCUCGCCUGGGCAACAGGAUCCCUUCAACACACUCUAGCGCCAGCAUUGCCAGAGCCCAUGGAGCCCAGCCCCUGCCUCCUAUACCCAUCAAGAAACCACAGGGUCCAUUCCGUGAGGCCGCGGAAGUGUGGGCUCAGAGACAUCGUAGCCUAGAACCUUCUCUGAGGGUCCAGACCUCUAUAACCGACCUAGAGGAGGCCCAGGACCAGCUACGCUUGGAGGAGUGGAGGAACCGCACAGUGGACACAUUGUUUCAGCCAUUCUCCAAGGCCCAUCAGAACAGGAGGUAUGAGAGGAUGAUCCAUACCUCCUCAUCCUUUCAGCCUGUCCCAUACGGAAACAAACACUUCAGAGAGGAGCGCCCUGAUAAUCUGCUGGGGAAAAAGCCUUUACAACGUGCUAGCAGCCGUCUGUGCAACACACACCUCAGGACAGCUUACACACUUCCCAGGACCCACCAGCACAUCAUGGAGAUGCCCAUGUGGCCAGCUUGGUCCGCUUCACACAGCACCAAGACCUAACCACUUCAACUGCUGACGUGCGGGUAGAACUGUCAGGGCCCUCAUGCUGCUACCUGUGAGAGGUCACUCGACUACCUGAGACGUGGUCAGGUUUGGAAAUGUACUGAGAGCCCUUCAACAGAGUCUUCACCACCUGUCAAGUUUUUGAUAAGUUUGGCCGUCUG